rnacentral:rRNA from 1 species
GUCUUCUUGUUAAUAUAAGAAGUCUGACCUGCUCACUGAUAUUAAAUUAAAGAGCUGCAGUAUAUUGACUGUACAAAGGUAGCAUAAUCAUUAGUUUCUUAAUUGGGAACUUGUAUGAAUGGUUUGACAAAAUAAAACUUGUCUUUGUUGUUAAAUUAAAACUUAACUUUUAAGUGAAAAGGCUUAAAUAAUUCAAAGUGACGAUAAGACCCUAUAAAGCUUUAUAUUUGUAUUUUAUUUUAAAAAAUUUAUUUAAUUAUAAAAUUAAAAUUAUUUUAUUUUAUUGGGGAGAUAAAUAAAUAAUUUAUAUAACUUUAUGUUCAUAAAACAUUAAUGUAUGAAACAUUAUUAGAUCUUUAGUAAAAAUUUAAAGAAAAAGUUACUUUAGGGAUAACAGCGUUAUUUUUUCUGAGAGUUCAUAUUUAAGAAAAAGAUUGCGACCUCGAUGUUGAAUUAAAAUAUCUGCUUGGUGCAGCAGCUAAGUAAGAAGGUCUGUUCGACCUUUAAUUUUUU